rnacentral:rRNA from 1 species
GUUUCCUCGGCAGGCUUGCUUGCCGAUUGGACAAUUCUAUAACCUUUUUAAUUUUUAAUCAGCGUCUGAAAAAACGUAAUAAUUACAACUUUCAACAACGGAUCUCUUGGUUCUGGCAUCGAUGAAGAACGCAGCGAAAUGCGAUAAGUAGUGUGAAUUGCAGAAUUCAGUGAAUCAUCGAAUCUUUGAACGCACAUUGCGCCCCUUGGUAUUCCAUGGGGCAUGCCUGUUCGAGCGUCAUUUGUACCCUCAAGCUUUG